CUAUCAUCCAGAAAGGCGGAGGGACUGGCCCUGCGAAGCCUUGGCAACCUUCAUUCCACAUGAGCGGUGCCAAAUCCAUCCCGGAGGAAAUCCGGGAAAGAUGAUGU
rnacentral:ncRNA from 2 species